AAUAACAUUUUCACAACUAUAAAUAUAUAUAUAUAGAUGUAGAUAUACCUAUAUGAUAUAGAUGAGAUAGAAGACAGAUACAUGGAUGGAUGGAUGGAUGGAUGGAUGGAUAGAUAGAUAGAUAGAUAGAUAGAUAGAUAGAUAGAUAGAUAGAGAGGGAUGGAUGGAUGGACAGAUGGACAGGCAGAUAAAUGGAUAGACAGACAUGUGUAUAAGAAGAUAUUGGUUUAAAAUAUUGUGAAAUGCAUAUGAAUCUUCAAAAAUUGUCAAUUUUUAUUUUUUCAACAUAAGGUUCCUUAUGGAAAAGGUAGCAUGGAGACUUCUUUAACACUGAGAACCUUAGAACUGAAUAGACACAAAAUCACAAGGAACUUUAAAUUGUAAUGUGAUUUCCUGACAUAGAAUCAGAAACCUUCACACACUUCUGUGAAGCCAGACAUCUUUGAAGGAUACAGAGGACACACAGCUAUCAAUAUAUAGAAGGAGGAGAAGCUCCCUCAAGUAAAGAACAGCAAUAGAAGACAAGAACAACUGUCACCAGCCAGAAGAGGUGUCCAGUCUAUCUGCCUGGGUAGCAUCCUGAAGUCCAAUAGCGAGAGUCAUGGGGGACACUUACUUGUCUUGGUUAAUAUGACUCUUUUUGACCUGUGUCAGCUCUUUGAAAGUCUGUCCAAAGUGAGCAGUGGGGUGAACAAUGGCGGCAGCAUCUUUAGGUAUCUGGAUCCAACCAUCAGGAGCUCUAAGCACUGACCCGCAAUGGCUGCCUGCCUCAGUUUGCACACCAGAUGGAUGCCAAUGCUGGUCUCUGUCAGGAAAGUACACAGAUUUCCUAAUGGUGCUUUCAACAUUAGUUCCUAUUAGAGUAUGUAACUGAAGAGGUAUCAGAGAUAACUCUUAUGUUUCUUUAACGUGAUAGAUGUUCCUCAUAUUUUUCUAAAUUUAGAAAUAUCUUGAACAUUGUGCCAUGUAAAGUAUUGAUUAUCGUUCAUGUGCAUGUUUUAACUUCUGCGAUUUAUUUAUUGACUUUUAAAGCUUCUAAUUUCAACACUAACUUCCAAACGGCAACAGAAGAAAAGUAAAACAACAUUAGGGGCAGAAGAAUAAUUUGGAUCAUGUGCGUUGGAAUAGAGGUACUGAACAGAACCACUCGAGUGGGAAGAGGUGUGUCUCCAGUGAGAUUCCAGAUGCUGUCAAGUUGAUGAUCAACAAACAUUACCCACCAUACAAGCUAUGAAGACAACUUAUUCAUUCAGACUCAAGCCUACUUGCCAUGUAUUCCUAGAAGUUCUGGAAAGUAGAAAUUCCAUAAAUAUCAAAACCUGAACAACCUCCUCACUUACCAGUCAGGCAUGCGAGACCAACACUUCUGAAACUGUGACCUGGACAAGCACCAGUAGCUUCGUUACCUGGGAAUUAUCAGAAAUGCAAAUUUUAACUCUACUCAACCUAUUCUCUGGAUGAAGCCAAUCACUUCCUCUCAUUGGACUGCCUGGAAUGGAUGGCUUUCUCUUCCCAGAAUGGCCUCCAUGUGCAGCAAAGCUAAGUUCACAGCUAAUUGCAGUUGGGUGUUUGGAGCUUCCUUUUCCUGCCCUUCACUAUUACCUGGCUUAGUAAAAAGAAUCAGCAGGUCCCAUCUGUUAAUGACAAGGGAACCAUUCCAGGCUUUGAGAAAACCAAGAUUUAGAAAUCAGUAUAGUCUUGAAAAUCAUCACAAUGAAGGUAGGUAGAUCUUACCAUGCCCUGGCAAAGAAUCUACAAAAUCAGAAAGCUUGAUUUUUGUUGUCAUUUCAAUCAACAGAAUGCUAGAACUAAGAAGAACUAAACAGGUGACCCAGGCGACAUAUAGAACAACAUAUUUAAUUGGGGACUUGCAAUUUCAGAGUUUUAGAGCAAGAACAUGUGGCAUGAACAGCUGAGAGCUCCGAAGUUGAUGAAGUAGAAGAAAACAAAUGCUACCUGGGAAUGGUGGGGGCCUUUGCAACCUCAAAAUCCACUCCCAGUAACACACCUCCAUCUCGGGUCCAGACCUUGAAACACUGGUGGACUUGGAGUUCCCUGGAGCUGGAAAGAAUGUAAUGGUCAAGAACUCUAAGAGUUGUACAACCUAAGAUGUUCCUCAUGAAAUCUCUUUGACGGCCAAUGCUUUAAAAGAAUCUGACACCUCCAGCCCAAAAAUGGAUCAAAAUUGAAAGUUGCCUGGUUUGUCACCUCUAUAGUUAAGUCUGGUUAAAGCACCUUCUGUUUAGGAUGCCAAUGAGAUGCAGGUGGUGAGGAUCUAUGACUGGGGUCCAUAUGGUCUCUUCAGGUGCAUGAAUGUAUGGUUGGGACCCUGAUAAUUUUCUCUGUGUGUUUAUCUCUCUGUAUAUUUCUGUCACUUCUAUUGAUUGGAGUCAAAGAUCUAAAAAAUAAGGGAAGUGAGCCCUCCUGGGACAACAGCUACUGCUGCCCCUGGGAUGAUACACAACUUCCCAUAGGCUCAUAGGUCAUGCUGGCCCAUCCAUGCUGCACCCCUCUUCUGGCAGCAACUGUGGAUGCAAGUCGGUGCUACUGUUGCUAUGGUGAUGCUAGCAGUAGGGGCUCCUGAGUAGUAUUGUGGGUGGUGGACACAUGCCCAGAAGGAAUUUUGUGGAGUAAGGAUGGCUAUGAUGGAUGUCUCAGGCACUGUGACCCUGGAGGAGGCUAGUGGCCUAUCUAUCCAAAAGACUUGACCUUGUUUGGCCUGCUUUUUUGUGAUCAGUUGCUGCUACAACUGUACUAAUAAAUACGUUGACUUUGUGCCAGGAACUGUCAUUAACUUACAUCUCCAUCAUUGUAAUGGACCUCCUGAGGGGAACCGCAGUAAGUGGAUGCAUAACAUUGAAAUAACCCAUUAUGAGGCACGUCUUCUGGGCCAGACCCAUAUCUGACUUAAUAAAACAAUAGCCAUCAGCCCACCCAGCCCACGACCAGAUGAUAUACCAAAGGAGCCACUCCAAGACAGCAGCCAAGUUCUGGUCAUCAGACUCCCCCAAACAGAGGAGGGACAUAGCCGUGGAUGUGGAGAGGCCCCAUAACAACCCUCAUAAGGGGAAAUGUACUCCAGGAACUGCCCAGUCUUUGGCUCCUCCAGUUCUGAUCAACAGGAGCUCAAAGCUCAGAUCCUGCAGGCAGGGUCUGACAAUACAGAAACACCCAUAGCUGUGGUAGAAGGUGGAUGUGAUCAGCUUCAUCUCCCAUCUUAAGCAAGAACCCAGGCCUGAUUGCUGCUACCUCUGCAGUUGUGGCUGCGGCAUCCUGCUCUGCUCUGGGGCUGGUGGAAGCCUCUGGCUUCCACUCUGGGCUCCACUGCAGCUGCACUCUGCACUUCCUACAGACAUGAAGAGGUUUUAUAUGGAGCAGCUUUGUUCAACACGGAAUCAGGUAUACUAGGUUGCAGUGGUCACCACCCAGGAUGAUAUAGGCCCAGUCCCUCAGCCAAUGGACUUCAACACAAAUGGCUGACCUUCUGGCUUUAUCCCAUUCAUUUUGCUGGGAGAAGGGCAAAGACAUGCAUACUACGAACAGUUGGCAUGCAUUUGCCAAUGCCAGUGUCCAUAGGCCCUCUUUAGAGAGAAGGGACUCCUCACCUUGACAGAAAGAACACAGGAAGAAACCAGGUGACAAAAAGAAACAGGAGGCAAAUGGAUGGCAGUUCUUGUUGAACAAGAGACCCAUACUCUCUGCUGUUAUCAGAAGACAAAAAAUUCUGUAUAUGGGUUGCCUCUACCUCUGAGAUUUGACAAUGCCCUCAUCUUCAUGAUCAAACUUUCCCCUAAAUCUGGCAAAGGCCCUAUAUGUUCAUCUAAAAUUACAUUGUGCAUAAAAUCAGGAAGGGUAAAAUAAAUCUGUCGAUGAAAAUUGGGCUAACCUCCUACCUUUUGCUCUAAGGGUCAGAUGCCCCCCAUAUUGAGAUGUUCACUAGGUAAAAGUUACUAACCAUUCCCCUGUCACAUUCUUAAAGAUCCUGCAACAGACCCAGAGGACUAUUCACAAGGCUGAGCCCUUGCUCAUGUCUGAGCUUGACCAAAAGUUCCAGACUGGAAACCUUAUGUGGACAGAGAGGAUCCUGACACAGAGCUUGGGAACAAUGGUGAAAACCCAUACAUUGUGGUCCUCAGCACCCAGUGUCACCACACCCUGCUAAACGGGGAUACAGAAUAUAGGUCAUCACCAGAGUCUCUAACCCACUAAAGAUAAAACAGACACACUUCUUAUAAUGAUAGCUUUCUCAUUUUCUUUAGAUUUAUAUGUUUCAUUAAUCGUUUAAUUAAGCCAUACAUGUUUGAACACAUAAAACAUUUUAAAAUAAUAUUUAUAUGAUUAUAACAACUUUCCAAGCUUAAAACUUUAAAAUCGUAUGUUCUUAAGUUACCAAAUAUUUUCUAUUACUUCAUCUCUCUUGUCUUGAUCACGGAGCAAACUUGUUUUUGGUACAAAUUACCACAUGAAUGCUAGAGCCCAGUUUCAUAUGCUAUUCACAGAAUGAUGUCAUGGUAAUGAUGCCAGCCACAGUGGGCUUCCAACCUCAAUAAAUUGUACUUUUCUUAUGUUGUCUUUUUUUGUAGGAAAGACAUUAAACCCUGAUAAUCCAAAAGAUCAGAAGCAGGGAGCUCAUAGCCAAUCUUAGUGCUACCUCCAAUUCUAUCAGCUAGAAAUGGGACCAAUCUGAGGUCACUCCGGGGCAUCUCCAGGGAAAGGGUACAUGUUUAAUGUUACCAAGCUACCAGCUAGUAGUUCCUGGGUGCAGAUUCCUUUAAUCAUGCACAGUAGAUUAAUUCCAAGAAUGACAGUCAAAUGUUUUUCAGGCCCCAGAGACUGCAUACCCUGCUCUCACUCACAACUUAACCAAGUGUUGAGGAGCCAAAUCUGGACCAUUAGUAGCUGGUUCCCUCAAGAAUUGCAGGAUUGAGGGGGGUCCACAGCACUCACGGACUCACCCUGCAGACUCACCCAGCAGUCAGUGUGGCUCUGCUUCCUGCAUCUUGAAAUGGAGGAUUUGGAUCUGAGAAGGCAGAUCCUCUAAUGCAGUGUACACAGGCAUCUGCCUUCAUGGCCACAGGGUAUGUGCACACCUAGUUUUAUUGGCAUAAAAAUGUUUGCCAACUUACACCACAUCCCGGGAUUUUGGGUGCCCCCUAUCAUUCUGCGUCCUCAGUAACACUUCUAUUGUUGGACGUUUCUGUUUAUCUAUUCUGGACUUGUUAUCUCACUGAAAAAAAUUCUUUUUAGACAAACUAUAAGGUGGCUUUGAACUGACUAUGUAGUCCUGGCUGACCCAACCUCACAGAGAUCCUCCUGCUUCAUCUUCCCAGUGCCGGGAUUACACACAUGUGCCACCAUGCCUAGAAUUUCUCUUCUUGAAAUUUGACUAUGUUUUACAUGUUAAUGUUGGUGUUGUACAUACAGCAUACUUAAAGACUGCAAUUUGGAGAUUUUCCUACCACAUGAGUUCCUUCCCCAUUACUAAAACACAUGCCCGAGAAUCAGCUUAAUGAAGGGGUGUACGUUGGCCAACAAUUGGAGGCCACAGUCCACCAUGGCAGGUUGAGCAGCUAUCUAUAUGGUAUCUACCCUGAGAACGCAGAGAGCAAUGAAUACUUAUGCUCCACCCCCUUUCUCUUUAUAUACAGUCAAGGCCUAUUGAUUAAUCAGUGCUCUUCAAUGUUAAGAUUUAUUGUCCAACUACCCUGACCCCAGUAAUCUCUCAGGGUAUCCAGAAGGCUUUGUAAUCAAGGUGUGGUACAUUUCUUCAGGCUCUUGUUUUUUUGUUUUUCUUUGUGGGUUUUUUUUUUUUUUUGAGACAGGGUCUCACUCUGGACUGAAGUUGGUCUUCACCAUGACUGAUUCUCUGUCUCCAGGUUGUUAGAAUUACAGGGCCUAACCACCACAUUUGCCUGGAAAUUUCCACAGAUCUAUUUGUUUCUUGGUGAUCAAAAAGAGAAUCUAACAAUGGUCAAGCUAGGCCCAAUGUCUUUGCUCCCUUCCUGCUGCCUGCUGAUUGGAAUGUACAAGUCUCAGCUACCUCUCUAGUACCAUGGCUUCCUGUGUUCCCACCCCCCAUGACAAUAAUAGACUAGACCUCUGAAAAUGUUAAACCAGUCCCAAUUAAAAGUUUUCCUCUGUAAGAGUUGUCAUGGUCAUGGUGUCUCUUCAUAGCAAUAGAACAUUGACUGUGACACUGGUACUAUGUCUGAUCUUAAACAACUGUAAACUCAACCAGGCAUGAUGUUAGUAGAACAUCCAGGUGAGAGGAUGUUGGGGCUACAAGCUCAUAGAGAACCCCAGCCAACAGAUACCUGUAAGGUCUCAUGGGAAGGUCUCUGUUUUCUUUAGUGUCCUCUUUCCAUCUAUCUUACUGAUUUUUAUUCUCCCCAUGAACAGAGUGUAAAAAUACAUUGCCUUUACUUCUAAGUCAUCCUUAGCCUUCUCUUUAAGGCCCGAGUUUAUGGGACAAGGUUUCUUACUGGAAUCUUCACCUUUGGUAUAUUUCUAAUCUCUGGACUCUUGAGCCCUGAAGAAUAAAAUAAGAAUCAGGUUCUCAGAGACUCUCAAAGAGAAGAAAUGAAGUCCAUAAACUCAGUGAAAAUUUUUACCAACCCAAAGUCAAACUGAUUCAAAUCAACGCUGGCCCACUAAAUUAUCAGAGCAUCUUCAAGGGAGAACGCUCCCAGUACUGGGGACAAAAGUUGAAACUUGAGCUUUUUUUUUUUUUUUAAGUACUUUCUUCUUUAAUCCAAAACAAACCACAAUUAUCAUAGUCAAUGUUGUCAUAAAGUAAAUUUACCUUGCUUGCAUUUCAUAUAUGUAGGAUUUUGGAGGUCAUCCAUUAAUACACACAUAAAGUACUGUAUUAGGCAAUUUUGUCAUCAUUAUUAAAAAUGGCAUAUUUCUUAAAUAAUUCAGUAUAUUUUAGGGAUACUUUUCUUUUUUUCCUUUUUUUUUUAUUAACUUGAGUAUUUCUUAUAUACAUUUCGAGUGUUAUUCCCUUUCUCGGUUUCCGGGCAAACAUCCCCCUAAUCCCUCCCCAGUCCCAUUCCUUAUGGGUGUUCCCCUCCCCAUCCUCCCCCAUUGCCGCCCUCCCCCCAACAGUCUAGUUCACUGGGGGUUCAGUCUUAGCAGGACCCAGGGCUUCCCCUUCCACUGGUGCUCUUACUAGGAUAUUCAUUGCUACCUAUGAGGUCAGAGUCCAGGGUCAGUCCAUGUAUAGUCUUAAGGUAGUGGCUUAGUCCCUGGAAGCUCUGGUUGCUUAGCAUUGAGCUUUUAAUCUCAUUGCAGAUGAAAGCGAUGUAGACUGGGAGUCAGAGGCAAGAGGGUCUCUAGGUUGUGUUAAGCCUGGGCUGUGCAUUGAGAGCCUUUCUCAAAAGAACAGCCAUAAGGAAGUGACAUGGAAACAAGCUGUCAUCUCAGGGGAUAUCACUUUAUAUGAUUUGGUGAUUUAAUCCUAUGAAAAGAAACUCAGAUAUUGGGUGACAGUCUAAUAGCAGAACCUUGUCUAGCACAGACAAAUAGAAGGACAGGAAGGAGGGAGGAAGAAGGGCCAAAGAUGAGCGAUGCUACAGGCAUUCAAAUGUUAAAAAUGCUAUCCCUAAGAACUGGAGGAAAGCUAGCUGUCCCACACUGUAGCAGUGCUUACAGUUUACUGCAGUUCAGAAACUGGAGAUGAUUGUCCCUGUGUUGCUGUACAGAAAGGACUGGAACAGUAGCAGAGAGAGUGGCUGCGCCCAUUUCAUGGGUGCUUUAGAGCAAGACACCUUCCGGAGAAGUUUUUAAAUAAAAAAGUUCAAGUGGUAACUCUGAGCUUAAAAUUUUAUAGCUUAGGUAAAAUCAGAUUUUUCUUCUUAUUUCCAAAUGAAGUUUUGAAGGUAUACUAAUUCAUAUUGUUUUUUUUUUUUUUUUUAUUAACUUGAGUAUUUCUUAUAUACAUUUCGAGUGUUAUUCCCUUUCCCGGUUUCCGGGCAAACAUCCCCCUCCCCCCUCCCCUUCCUUAUGGGUGUUCCCCUCCCAACCCUCCCCCCAUUGCCGCCCUCCCCCCAUAGACUAGUUCACUGGGGGUUCAGUCUUAGCAGGACCCAGGGCUUCCCCUUCCACUGGUGCUCUUACUAGGAUAUUCAUUGCUACCUAUGGGGUCAGAGUCCAGGGUCAGUCCAUGUAUAGUCUUUAGGUAGUGGCUUAGUCCCUGGAAGCUCUGGUUGCUUGACUAAUUCAUAUUGUUUACCUAGCUGUAGUGCUAUAUGAACACUACUUAAAAGGCAAAAUAAACUUGGUUUAUAUUUUAAAAAAAAAGGUUUCAGUUGGGGAUUUAGCUCAGUGGUAGAGCGCUUGCCUAGGAAGCGCAAGGCCCUGGGUUCGGUCCCCAGCUCCGAAAAAAAAAAAAAAAAAAAAAAAAAAGGUUUCAGAGCUACAGAGGAACAGCCUUGGAAGAUGCUACUGACAUGGAGACUCCAGGCUCAGCCUCAGCCCAUGAAGAGAUAACAGAACACAGAAAUCUUCCUGUUCCUGCUAGCACUGUAGCAGCCCACACCUGCCCUCCUGAUGCUUGGGGAACUGAGACAGGAGAGCCUGGAGUUUGAGGCUACAAAGGGAGGCACUGUGCUUUCUCAUUACCAAGCCUGGUAUAGGACAAAUCAGCACAACUCAGAAAUCGGUCUCUCCCGCCCUUGCAGUUGCAAAGGGAAAUGGGAUGUAGCUUUGCACAGUUCUCAAGCUCCAUCUGAGUCUCCCUUCUCCAGCUCUGAGCCCAGUCUCGCCAGUUUGUUGGAUGUGAAUUCUAUGAUCCCAAAUUAAUGUGCAAAUCUUUUUUCCUAUAAUUCAGCUUUUCAUCAAAGCCACUAAGAACCAGAAGCUAAACAAAAAGCAACGGCUUCUUAAGAACUUUUUACUUCUUUUGUU